rnacentral:lncRNA from 1 species
CGUAUGGAUGUUCUAUAGAAGCCGGACGUCCUCAUGCGGCUGUGAGCAACUAGAAGAGACUUUCUCCAAUAUGAGAUAUUUGUGGAGAUCAGCAACCCAUAAUUUAUUAAUGAGUUUUGAAUUUGUUAAACUAGUAUUGAUAGAUCUAAGUAUUAGAUCUAAUUUGCACCAUCAAUUAGAUCGAUGUAGUUUUUAUUUUUAGAUCUUAAAUAUAUGUUAAAUC